UAGGGAAUCUUCCACAAUGGACGCAAGUCUGAUGGAGCAACGCCGCGUGAGUGAAGAAGGUUUUCGGACCGUAAAGCUCUGUUGUUGGUGAAGAAGGAUAGAGGUAGUAACUGGCCUUUUAUUUGACGGUAAUCAACCAGAAAGUCACGGCUAACUACGUGCCAGCAGCCGCGGUAAUCGUAGGUGGCAAGCGUUGUCCGGAUUUAUUGGGCGUAAAGCGAGCGCAGGCGGAAGAAUAAGUCUGAUGUGAAAGCCCUCGGCUUAACCGAGGAAUUGCAUCGGAAACUGUUUUCUUG
rnacentral:rRNA from 1 species